rnacentral:lncRNA from 10 species
CUCCAGCCUGGGCGACAGAGCAAGACUCCAUCUCAAAAAAAACCAACAACAACAACAACAACAACAACAACAAAAAGACCACUAGCUAGACUAAUAAAGAAGAAAAGAGAGAAGAUCCAAAUAAACACAAUUAGAAAUGAUAAAGGAAAUGUUACUACUGACCUCACAGAUAAAAAAACAACCACCAGAGACUACUAUGACCACAUCUACACAUACAGACUAGAAAACCUAAAACAGAUGAAUAAAUUCCUGGACACAUACACCCUCCCAAGACUGAGCAAGGAAGAAAUUGAUUCCCUGAACAGACCAAUAAUGAGCUCCGAAAUUCAAUCAGUAAUAAAUAGCCUACCAACCAAAAAAGGCCAGGACCUGAAGGACUCACAGCUGAAUUCUAUUAGAUGUGCAAAGAAGAGCUGGUACCAUUCCUACAGAAACUAUUCUAAAAAAUUGAGCAGAAAGGACUCCUUCCCAACUCAUUCUAUGAGGCUAGCAUCAUCUUAAUGGUAAACUUUCAAUGACUCUCCACCACCAAGAGGAUGAAUUUCUAUCUCCUUAGAAUGGCAUAUAAAGCCAUUUGUGAUUUGGCCCUGGCUUCCCUCUCCACUCCAGCAGCUGUACUUAAGUACUUGUAGGUCCCUUAGGGAGCCAUAAUUUGUGGCAUUUUUACAUGUUACUUCCUUGGCAUAUAUAUUUUAUUUUAUUUUUGUCAGGCCCACACCACUUAGAUGUUGCUGACUCUAGUAAAGCUUCCCUUACUCCCCAGGUGCUGGGCUAAGUACCCCUAUUCUGGGAACCCUUCUGCUUACCAUAUCACAGCACUUCCGUGACUUCAUAAUCGUCUGUUUACUUGCCAUUUCCUCUAUUAAAUUCUGAGCUCCCUGAUGGGAGUAUUCAUGGUUAGAGUCUCAGUCUCUAUUACGGGCCCUAGUACACUUCAGGAACUCAAAAGCUUUGCUGAUAUAAUGCAAGGUGAUAAAAAAGUAGAAAGACUUGGGAUAAUCUUGAUUUCUGAAGGCAUCAAACGGGAAUUAGAGAAAGCAGCAGGAAAAACGAAGGCCUUUUUAAGUUCCAUGAGAACUACGGUUUGCAAGACUGGUCAAAACAGUACAAUGCAAGCGGCAAGAAUCAGGAAGUGCACAGAAACAAGAAGCUCGGUGCACACUGGGAUCAGGCAAGCAUCUGGGAGAAGACUGUAGCAAGACUGGAUCCUGAGAAAUAUACAGAGUUCAGAGGCUCCAUGGCUACACUUUGGGCAUGUAUGUCAUUACAGGAAUGAAAAAAAGAUGAUGGCCAAAUGCUGUAUUAAAAUCCCAUUAGAAAUGCCGGGAGAAAUUUAUGGCCCCAAUCUCUUUUAUCUGACAGCAGUUCCCAUGUGAUCCAUCAGGCUCUGAACAUGAAUUUUAAUGGGCUCAGAACCACUUCUCUACCCUGAGGUCACAGGCUGUCAGAGUGAAUCUUCCACAAACUGAUUGGAACCUGAAGAAUUUGCUCUGUCAAGAGAGAGUGUUUCAAUUGAAUAUUGCAACUGAAGACAUUCACUCUGCGUUGAUCACCUAUGGAGUGAUCAAAUUUCAACCCUUUGAAGUUUCCUAAAUGAAAGAGGCACUCUGAAUUCAAAGGCUGUUUGAAUGAACUGACUGCUUCAGCACUGUCUUGUAGAUAUAGUCCAUUCAAAUAAAAGACAAAUAUCUGACUGAAUUUUGUUAGCACGUUAAGACAUGUAUUAUAAAAAGGUUUAAGAAGAAAAUAAUGGCCACAAUUCUUCAGAAAACAUGUGAACUAAUGUGACAAAACACUGUGGUGUUGCAAACUCAAGUGCUGCUCUGGCCAAGUCACCUCGCUGAAAUCUCCACUUCCACUUGUGCAACCUACCAAGCCACUCUCUACACAGCUGCCAGAGUGAUUACAAAAACAACGCGGGAUUAUGCUACCCCUGCUUAUCUAAAAUUUGUCAAAAUGCCCGUUACACUUUGAAUAAAAUACAGAUUCCUCUCAGAUCUCAUUUCUUAUCAUGUCUUUCUCAAUCAUUAUGUUCCAGCCUCACUGACCUUCUUUCUGUUCCUGUAAAAUAUUCCUGCCUCAAGGGCGCAGGCCUACGACCUGCAGUUCUCUUUUUCCCACAUGUGACCAGGCUCUCUCUUAGCCAUCAGGUCUCAAAUAAGCUCUUUCCGUUCUGUCUAGGCAUCUUAUCAAAAUCAACCUGUGUAUUAUUAUUCAUUUAUCACAUAAUCUUGUUUUAUUUUCCUCAUAGCACUCUCACUUUCUGAAAUUAUCUUUGUUUAUAUGUUUAAUGCCCUUCUUUUCCACUAGAAUGGAAACUCAAAGAUCAAGAAACUUAUCUGGCCUUUUCACUGUUGAAUUGCCAAAAUUUUGAACAGUGCCUAACAUACAGUAAAGGCUCAAUAAAUAAAUAAAUAAAUGUUCAGCUCUCUUGGCUGUCUCUGCAGUGAUCAAGAAUAUUUUGAUGUCUCUCAAAAGAACUAUAUGCUUAUAGUAGCCU